UUUUCCAUAUAAACAACAUGUCAGCUAUUGCUCUGCCAUUGUGACUGGCCUAUGAGGUCACAUCUCUUUGUCCUGUGGCACAGAAGCAAUUCUGUUGGCCGUUGGGUAGAUGCACUGCACUUGAGCAACACUGGUGGCAAAGAAGCUAAGUGGCCCAGUAAAUAAUAAAACUGGACCAUCCUCAUGCCUGCUGGUCUCAAUGAAGCAGCCCCCAGCUUUUUUCCAUCCCAGUAGAUAUUUUUUUUAAUCUAAUGGCUCAGUAAACACUAUAACAAAUAGAAGCAAAAUCAAAUUGCAGUCCAUAAAUAAAAUGUUUGGAUACGUUUAAUAAUGCUGAAAUGCUUGUCAUGCUCUUCUGAUCUCACUUUGUGCUUGUUGCCCCUAACUCAGAGCGCAGAGGAGCUGCUUGGGGACCAGGGUUGUGGCAGCAUGAGGGGAGCUGGCAGCUCUGGCCUUAAAGCCUGGGCCUUGGAAGAAAUGGAGGUGUUGCGGCUUUUGUAGUUAAAUACAAUGUAAGUAACAUGACAGUUGCCUUCAUUGUUUUCUUGAUGAAAUGAGUCCUGUUGAGCUGCUUCCAGGCAGCAGAUGGUGAAGAUCCCACUUGUCUGUUGGCCGGGUCCGCAGCUGGCUGGGAAGCACUUUGCUGUUGUGCCAUGGGAUCCAUCACAGGAAUUCUCAGACGUGAAGAAAGGUACCAAAUUUGAAGGGCUUGCCAAGGGUUUCCAUUAAUCCUGGAGCAGGAGGUGGAUCCUGUUGGUGGAUCUCAGCUUGUCUGAGAUGUGCUUGUUCGGGAUUUGCAGUUCCCUGAACUGUACAUCAGCUGUGGUGCUGGCAAGCCUGGGAUGCUGACUGGUGACUGAUGAUGCAGCGAAGGUAAUAGCCAAGGCAGUUGGCAGAAUUUGAGGGUGGCAAAGUGUUUAUGAUUUAAAAUGACAAAAUGCAUAAAGUACCUAUGGCUCUGUAUAGAUGCUGAAAGAAUAAAUAACAUAAAUCAGACCAUCUGGCACUCAGGACUUUUAGUGCAGUCUUAGCCAGCAGUUCGUAGGAAAUAGAAACAUGAUAAUACCAUCUCUCAAUGGUUGUUAGGAGUGAUCACUGUGAAAUGUGUGUAAACACUGAACUGGAAUUUCUGGAAACAGCAGCAUAUGCAAAAUUGGCAGAAAAUCACCAUGCUCUGGGGAUUAGAGUAACUGGAAGGAGAGCACCAGUGAUCCUGGAAGGACUCAUGGAUCUGCAGGACAAGACAUGGCUGAUGCAGGGCUGCUGGCUACCUGUGCCAGUUGCUGACAGUGCUGCUGGAGAUGUGACAGCACACCGAGCCAUCUCGUCUCUUGCAGUCUGUAGGCUCUGAUGGGGCUGAGUGACGUAAUGCCAUUCCCAAAUUGCUUGUUGUUGUCCCUUUCUCAUCCCUCAAGAAGCUCAGGAAGGCUAGAUGUCAGGAGGCUCUAAAGGGUGCUUUGAGUAAUAGGCCCUGGUGAUUAGCAACUCCUAUGUUUUCACAAGCGCUAACAAGUUAGUCACAGAGAGGGCUUCUGUAUGGGAACUGUUGAGUCCCAGCCUGAACCACUGAUGGAGCACCUGGAGAAAGGACCUGGUCAGCCCUGGGAGCACAGGUGAAGGCAAUUCAGCUGAGUGAUAGGAAGGAGUGGGGCCUGGCUGCACCUCUCUUGGACCUCAUUUAAGGGCUGACUGCCACUGGGGAAGGAUCUCUUUCUGGAGAUCCCUCCUUGGUGAAGCUUUCCCCUGUGAACCUGGAAUCUUCUGAUAUGGAUAAGCAGUCUUCUCUGCUUCCUUUGUAGCACCUUUCUAUUGUGCCAGUCCUUCAUCACUGCACCUCUGGUGAAACACCUUUUCCCAUCAUAUUAAUCUGUCCAGCUUCUAUGAACAGGCAUCCUAUUUUGCAGUUUAUAACUUAGUCUCAAUUUUUAAUUCUUCACCAGUGCACGAUGUCUCAAAUCUUUUCUUCUCUACUUGUAUCUCAUUUACUGCCAUUAUCUGAUAUUCUUAAAGAUGAUAAUCAUGGCUGAAUCUGGUGAAAGGGCCACAUCUCCUCCCUGGUUCCUUCCUGCACAUCAUGACUCAAUGAGAACCUUUCCUCCAGACCUGAAAACACUUCUCAGAACCACCAAAUCAUGACUGUAUCUCUAAAUGUUCCAUGUUGCAGUUCUGAGGAAAGCUCUUUAAAGUAUGAUGAAAGCGACAGGGCUCACGCUGAGGCUUGCAGCUGGAAUCCCUAACAUGAAGCCAUGAGCUCACAUAGAAGUGAGGAGAACCAAGCUUUCACCCUGCGGUUUCUUAUUCUGGGAGCAGAAGUAUUUGAUAUCCAGUGUUUCUAAUAGAACUAAUCUUUAGAUAAGCCUUAUUUCAUGUAGCUGUUGCUGCCUAGGAGUUAACUGCCCGGUUGUACAUUCGGUGGCCAGCUGAGAGGCAGGAAUCUUUAGAGGCUGCUUUGCACUGCCUCAUUAGGCACCCACCAUUAUGUGUGAUGGGAGCAGACCCAUUCAUCACAUUUGCUGAAUCAAGCUGGUGGUAACACAGGAUUUGACUUAGUAAACAGUCAUGUUUGUGGAUAACAUCUGAGUGAGAACAUUGCAUUUAAUUUGACUCAAUAAAAGUAGAACAAAAUUAUUUUUGGAAGGACUUCAAGCCUUAGCUUUUGUAAACAAGCUUAAUAUUGGAUCGUCAUUUUGUUCAGCUUCAAGAGAAAAUGAAAAUUAAAUCUCAGUUGUCUCUUACAUGACAGGUUCUGUUGAAACCAGAUAGGAGAAAUUCCCAUCUUCAGACACUGGUGAAAAGCUUUUUGAAUUUCCAGAUUCAUUGGACUCAAUUGUCUCUGUGCUUCUUGUUUUCUCUUUGUUUGUUUCUCCAAUCAGCCUAGCUGGACGCUUACUCACAGGGCAGGGUGGUGUUGUAGAGGCCAUCAGAGCCAAGGGCUCCAGGCAGGAGAUGUUUUAUUCAGCACCAGUCUUCUCCCUGCUUGACUGCAUGUAGUGCAGGCUCUGGACAGUGCUGCUGACAGUAGUCAACAAAACAUUGCAUUUUAAGGCUGAAGUGUAGAGUGCUGCACUUCUGGAAAAGGAUCUAGAACACUCAGGCUAAAUUGGGGUGGAUUUUCCUGGAGAUGGCAGAAAAUGAGCUUGCUCUGAUGCCACAAGUUGCCAAAGCUUUGAGCCGUGUUCGUAUUUGCAGGGUGGCAGAGGCAGGCAAGGCUGAGAUUGGAGGCAUUUUUAAGGUGGGCAAGCAAUGCUCUGUUUCAUUUUAAUUCAGAAACAACUGUAUUGCCUUAGCUGAAAUUAAAAUAAAAAAGAUAAAAGUAAUUGCUCCAGGCAUACACCCAGCAUGUAAACUUUCAGCCUAAGGCCUGACAGUGAUAUAAAUAACUGAUGGAGAGCCUUGCACUGGGGAGCAUUGGGCAAUUUGGGCAAUGAUGGCUCCAAUUCUUCAGGUACGUUUAAAUGGAUAUGUCUAGUGCCCAUUGUUUUCCCAAGUUUGUUGCUUGCAGCUGGCAUUCUUUCCUUUAUUCAGAAACAAGUACUGAAGCACUUUGUUUGCUCGAAAAAAAAAAAUUGAAGUUCUCUGUGCUGACAGUUGUGCAACUUGGCAUAUGCUGGCCAGAAAUGCUGGAGCAACUGACUCUGCUGAGUAUGCUUUUGAGUUAACUCUGAUUUCUGUACUUCCAUAGAGAAUUCUGUUUGUAUUUUGAAUUAUCAUGGGCUUUUUGCUUCUUUCCACUCUAUUGCCAUAGCUUCUAUGCAGC
ensembl:lncRNA